rnacentral:rRNA from 1 species
AAUAUUGGUCAAUGGACGCAAGUCUGAACCAGCCAUGCCGCGUGGAGGAUGACAGCCUUCUGGGUUGUAAACUUCUUUUAUAUGGGAAGAAAAGUACGGUAUCUACUGUAUCCGACGGUACCAUAUGAAUAAGCACCGGCUAACUCCGUGCCAGCAGCCGCGGUAAUACGGAGGGUGCAAGCGUUAUCCGGAUUUACUGGGUUUAAAGGGUGUGUAGGCGGAUAUUUAAGUCAGUGGUGAAAUCUCCGGGCUCAACCCGGAAACUGCCGUUGAUACUAUUUAUCUUGAAUUCUGUUGAGGUGGGCGGAAUACAUCAUGUAGCGGUGAAAUGCUUAGAUAUGAUGUAGAACACCGAUUGCGAAGGCAGCUCACUAAGCAGACAUUGACGCUGAGGCACGAAAGCGUGGGGAUC